rnacentral:ribozyme from 1 species
ACUAAUACAAAACCAGAAACAACAACACAAUGUCCAACCCCAAGGUUUUCUUUGAUAUGUCCAUCGGUGGAAAGGCCGCUGGCCGCGUCGUUAUGGAGCUUCGUGCCGAUGCUGUCCCCAAGACUGCCGAGAACUUCCGUGCUCUAUGCACUGGCGAGAAGGGAUUCGGAUACGCCGGAUCUUCCUUCCACCGUGUCAU